GAUGAACGCUGGCGGCGUGCCUAAUACAUGCAAGUCGAGCGAACGGACGAGAAGCUUGCUUCUCUGAUGUUAGCGGCGGACGGGUGAGUAACACGUGGAUAACCUACCUAUAAGACUGGGAUAACUUCGGGAAACCGGAGCUAAUACCGGAUGAUAUUUUGAACCGCAUGGUUCAAAAGUGAAAGACGGUCUUGCUGUCACUUAUAGAUGGAUCCGCGCUGCAUUAGCUAGUUGGUAAGGUAACGGCUUACCAAGGCAACGAUGCAUAGCCGACCUGAGAGGGUGAUCGGCCACACUGGAACUGAGACACGGUCCAGACGCCUACGGGAGGCAGCAGUAGGGAAUCUGCCGCAAUGGGCGAAAGCCUGACGGAGCAACGCCGCGGGAGUGAUGAAGGUCUUCGGAUCGUAAAACUCUGUUAUUAGGGAAGAACAUAUGUGUAAGUAACUGUGCACAUCUUGACGGUACCUAAGCAGAAAGCCACGGCUAACUACGU
rnacentral:rRNA from 1 species